CGAUGGGCUUCGCCCAUCGCUAUACCAGUUCGCCCUUUCAGGGCU
rnacentral:sRNA from 1 species